GGGGAAUUUUCCGCAAUGGGCGAAAGCCUGACGGAGCAAUACCGCGUGGAGGAUGACGGCCUAUGGGUUGUAAACUCCUUUUCUUUGAGAAGAAGUCCUGACGGUAUCAAAGGAAUAAGCAUCGGCUAACUCCGUGCCAGCAGCCGCGGUAAGACGGAGGAUGCAAGUGUUAUCCGGAAUUAUUGGGCGUAAAGCGUUUGUAGGUGGAAAAAUAAGUCUAUUGUUAAAUCCAGGAGCUUAACUUCUGUCCAGCGAUAUGAAACUAUUUUUCUUGAGGGUGGUAGGGGUAGAAGGAAUUCCUAGUGUAGCGGUGAAAUGCGUAGAUAUUAGGAAGAACACCAAAGGCGAAGGCAUUCUACUGGGCCAAUCCUGACACUGAGAGACGAAAGCUAGGGGAGCGAAAGGGAUUAGAUACCCCUGUAGUCA
rnacentral:rRNA from 1 species